UACGGAGGUGGCAAGCGUUGUUCGGAAUUACUGGGCGUAAAGGGCGCGUAGGCGGCCGCCUAAGUCAGACGUGAAAUCCCCAAGCUUAACUUGGGAACUGCGUCUGAUACUGGAUGGCUUGAGUUCGGGAGAGGAAUGUGGAAUUCCAGGUGUAGCGGUGAAAUGCGUAGAUAUCUGGAGGAACACCGGUGGCGAAGGCGGCAUUCUGGACCGAAACUGACGCUGAGGCGCGAAAGCCAGGGGAUCAAACAGG
rnacentral:rRNA from 1 species